rnacentral:lncRNA from 1 species
UAUGGCCAUGAAUAUGGAUGAUUCAGCGAAUUUGAGUGAGAGCAUGAAUCAACAGAAGCACAUUCUUGAUAGUCAUUAUGUUUCCUUUUUUGGAGCACGUUGUUGGAUUUCUCGUCGUUAGAACUAUUAUUGUUUAUUUCUCGGGUGACACGAGUAGUAGGUGGUCUAUACGAUUCAUUGUCCUCGUCAGAUGACACCACAAUUAGUUCAUGUUCGGUUUGGACUCCCAUAACAUCUGCUAGAUUGAAAAUAGUUUCUAGCGAUUCCCACUCAGAUUCUCCCU